AUUGAACGCUGGCGGCAGGCCUAACACAUGCAAGUCGAGCGAGCGGCGGACGGGUGAGUAAUGUCUGGGGACUGCCCGAUAGAGGGGGAUAACUACUGGAAACGGUAGCUAAUACCGCAUAAUAUCGGAUAACCCAGUUGGGAUUAGCUAGUAGGUGAGGUAAUGGCUCACCUAGGCGACGAUCCCUAGCUGGUCUGAGAGGAUGAUCAGCCACACUGGGACUGAGACACGGCCCAGACUCCUACGGAGGCAGCAGUGGGGAAUAUUGCACAAUGGGCGCAAGCCUGAUGCAGCCAUGCCGCGUGUAUGAAGAAGGCCCUAGGGUUGUAAAGUACUUUCAGUCGGGAGGCGUUACCGACAGAAGAAGCACCGGCUAACUCCGUGCCAGCAGCCGCGGUAAUAC
rnacentral:rRNA from 1 species